rnacentral:rRNA from 1 species
AGCUCGUGUCGUGAGAUGUGGUUAGUCCGCAACGAGCGCAACCCUUGUCCUUAGUUGCCACCAUUCAGUUGGGCACUCUAAGGAGACUGCCGGUGUUAAACCGGAGGAAGGUGGGGAUGACGUCAAGUCCUCAUGGCCCUUAUAUCCAGGGCUACACACGUGCUACAAUGGCCGGUACAAAGGGUCGCAAUACCGCAAGGUGGAGCUAAUCCCAAAAAGCCGGUCUCAGUUCGGAUUGGAGUCUGCAACUCGACUCCAUGAAGUCGGAAUCGCUAGUAAUCGCGUAUCAGCAUGACGCGGUGAAUACGUUCCCGGGCCUU